UAGUUGGUGAGGUAAUGGCUCACCAAGGCAAUGACGCCUAACUGGUUUGAGAGGAUGAUCAGUCACACUGGAACUGAGACACGGUCCAGACUCCUACGGGAGGCAGCAGUGGGGAAUAUUGCACAAUGGAGGAAACUCUGAUGCAGCAACGCCGCGUGGAGGAUGACACUUUUCGGAGCGUAAACUCCUUUUAUAUAGGAAGAUAAUGACGGUACUAUAUGAAUAAGCACCGGCUAACUCCGUGCCAGCAGCCGCGGUAAUACGGAGGGUGCAAGCGUUACUCGGAAUCACUGGGCGUAAAGAGCGUGUAGGCGGGUUAAUAAGUUGGAAGUGAAAUCCUAUAGCUCAACUAUAGAACUGCUUUCAAAACUGUUAACCUAGAAUAUGGGAGAGGUAGAUGGAAUUUCUGGUGUAGGGGUAAAAUCCGUAGAGAUCAGAAGGAAUACCGAUUGCGAAGGCGAUCUACUGGAACAUUAUUGACGCUGAGACGCGAAAGCGUGGGGAGCAAACAGGAUUAGAUACCCUGGUAGUCCACGCCCUAAACGAUGUACACUAGUUGUUGCGAUGCUAGACAUUGCAGUAAUGCAGUUAACACAUUAAGUGUACCGCCUGGGGAGUACGGUCGCAAGAUUAAAACUCAAAGGAAUAGACGGGGACCCGCACAAGCGGUGGAGCAUGUGGUUUAAUUCGACGAUACGCGAAGAACCUUACCUGGACUUGACAUUUACAGAAUUUUUCAGAGAUGAAUUAGUGUCUGCUUGCAGAAACUGUAGGACAGGUGCUGCACGGCUGUCGUCAGCUCGUGUCGUGAGAUGUUGGGUUAAGUCCCGCAACGAGCGCAACCCACGUCGUUAGUUGCUAACAGUUCGGCUGAGAACUCUAACGAGACUGCCUGGGCAACCAGGAGGAAGGUGUGGACGACGUCAAGUCAUCAUGGCCCUUACGUCCAGGGCUACACACGUACUACAAUGGGGCAUACAAAGAGCAGCGAUACCGCGAGGUGGAGCAAAUCUCAAAAAUGCCUCCCAGUUCGGAUAGUAGUCUGCAACUCGACUACUUGAAGUUGGAAUCGCUAGUAAUCGUAGAUCAGCAAUGCUACGGUGAAUACGUUCCCGGGUCUUGUACUCACCGCCCGUCACACCAUGGGAGUUGAACUCAUUCGAAGCGGGGAUGCUAAGAUAGCUACCCUCCACAGUGGAUUCAGCGACUGGGGUG
rnacentral:rRNA from 1 species